CAGCAGCCACGGGAAUACAGAGGGUGCGAGCGUUAAUCGGAUUUACUGGGCGUAAAGCGUGCGUAGGCGGCUUCUUAAGUCGGAUGUGAAAUCCCUGAGCUUAACUUAGGAAUUGCAUUCGAUACUGGGAAGCUAGAGUAUGGGAGAGGAUGGUAGAAUUCCAGGUGUAGCGGUGAAAUGCGUAGAGAUCUGGAGGAAUACCGAUGGCGAAGGCAGCCAUCUGGCCUAAUACUGACGCUGAGGUACGAAAGCAUGGAGCAAACAGGAUUAGAUACCCCAGUAGUCCCUGUCUCUUAUACAC
rnacentral:rRNA from 1 species